rnacentral:lncRNA from 1 species
CUGGGAUCCAGUCCCAUAUCGGGUUCCCUGCAUGGAACCUGCUUCUCCCUCUGCCUGUGUCUCUGCCUCUUUCUGUGUGUCUCUCAUGAAUAAAUAAAUAUUUAAAAAAAGAAAGAAAAAUGAUGGAAGAAAUGACCAGCAAAUAUAUGUUUAAGAAUAAUUAUUGUUUCUUUUCUCACAUGUAGUCUCUCUGGCCUUACCACACCUGAAAUAAAGUAUUGAAUCUCAUUUGAUAAAUACUACUUAGGAAAAAACCCUAAAGUGAUAAAAAAAAAAAAUUAGGAAAAUGCUUAAAAGAGAUAUGUAAAUGGUGUAACAUCUUAGGAAAAUAAAGCCUAAUGUAACAUAAUUUUAGAAAUGAGUUUACCUUCAAAAAAUCAAGCACAGACAUCUCUUCUUGUGUUAGGAACUUGGGGUUGAAAGCUUUCAAAAGACACAUGAAGAUGACAGAGAAGAAAAAAAACGAAGGUUGAAGCCAACAAUGAACUAAUGACAACUGGGACCUGACAUCUUUAGCAGUCAGGGGUGACAAAGCCUGAUGAACAAAUAGAAGAUGGAAGAUGAAGAAGCAUUUCAGUACAAUUCCACUGAAGAGUUUUCACAUUGAGGACUGCUCCAGUUCCCAGAUCAACUCUGAAAUGGACAGAUUUUUUACCCUUCAAAAUCCAGGACCUGUUUACUGAUUUAUGCUCUCUAGCAUGUCUGACAAUUUUGCAGCUAAUAAGACCCAGGGUGCACUGCCUCUUGAGAAUGUUCUAGAUUACUGAGAUUACCAUGUGAGUGUGGCUCCAGCACCCACAUACCUGUGUGCUGACCAGUGUGCAAAGCUCGUCUGAUGCCUAGAUCCUCUGACCUGCAAUCUGGUCAGAUUUCUUAGCUUUCUUACUUUCCUUGAUCCAAGGUCAGAUUUUAUCGGGCAGAUCAGCCCAUUCCCUUUGGACUGAUACUCCGCUUUUUUUUUUUUUGCCAUUCCCAUCUCCAAAGCUCAAUUUUCACUAAUACCUCUCAUCUAUGGGCUAAAAACACCUCCAUCUGCCUAGUUUUCAGUGGUAUGUUUUGUAGUUUGGGGACAAACAGGGAUUUUAACAGUGUUUUGGUUAUGAAUUUCUGAGUCCAAAGAUGUGGUGAGAGAAUAUAGUCUUUAAGAAAUUGAUUCUUCAAAAAAAAAAAAAAAGAAAUUGAUUCUUCAAAACUUAUGAUGAUUUUUGGGAGCUAGGAUAGGAUAUUAUUUAAAAGAAUAUAUUAAAUGUGUGAUUAAAAUGAAAAUAUUUUUCCGUGAUGUAUAAAGCUGUACAUAUUAUAGCAAAUAUAUUAAUCGCAUCAAUCAUAGCUCUUAUAUUUUUAUUUUCUAUGAAUUUCCUCUCUUUGUUUUUAAGAAUAGUAUAUUAAAAUCUAUGACGUCAGAUGUUGAUUUAUUUAUUUCUUCUUUUUAUCACUUCUCAUUACUUUGCCUAUUUCAAGGCUAUAUCAGGGCCCUACAAUGUCA